ACCGAAUAGAUACCCAGGUAGUCCACGCCGUAAACUAUGAACGCUAGCCGUUGGCGAGCUUGCUCGUCAGUGGCGCAGCUAACGCAUUAAGCGUUCCGCCUGGGGAGUACGGCCGCAAGGUUGAAACUCAAAGAAAUUGACGGGGGCCCGCACAAGCGGUGGAGCAUGUGGUUUAAUUCGACGCAACGCGCAGAACCUUACCAGGGUUUGACAUCCCGAGACCGCUGCUGAAAGGCAGUUUCCCGCAAGGGCUCGGAGACAGGUGCUGCAUGGCUGUCGUCAGCUCGUGUCGUGAGAUGUUGGGUUAAGUCCCGCAACGAGCGCAACCCUCGCCUUUAGUUGCCAUCAUUAAGUUGGGCACUCUAGAGGGACCGCCGGCGACAAGCCGGAGGAAGGUGGGGAUGACGUCAAGUCCUCAUGGCCCUUACACCCUGGGCUACACACGUGCUACAAUGGCGGUGACAGUGAGCAGCUAACUCGCGAGAGUAUGCUAAUCUCCAAAAA
rnacentral:rRNA from 1 species